GGUGGCCAUAGCGUGAGGGCUCCACCUCUUCCCAUUCCGAACAGAGAAGUUAAACCUCACCACGUCGAUGAUACUACGAAAGUGGGA
rnacentral:rRNA from 1 species